GAAGAUCGCAGCCGUCAGAUCAGGGUUUAAGAGUGAGAGAAGAAGUUAUAAUAAUAAUGAUAAUGAAUGAAAGAAGGAUAUGAAAGAAGAAGGGUAGUGUUUGUUUCUUUUUUUCUGCUAAAGAAUGCAAAAAAUGAUAGAAAAAUGUUAUAUUUAUAGAUGUUUUUCUCUCUCUAGUGAUAGGGAAAGGGGAAGAAAAGAAAAAGAAAGAUUUUUUAUGUUGAAAGUGUCUCUUUGUAGUUGUUUUUGUUAGAAGAGUUUUUUUGAGACUGUAACAGCGGCGAAGGGUGACGAUGAGAGGAAAGAAAAAAGGGUGAGAAGAGAGAGAGAGAGAGAGAGAGAGAAAAGUACGAUGGUCAAAGAUAGUUUUGAAUAUGUUUUGUUUUAAGAUACGAAUCAUGGUUAUUAAUGACUAUCAUCAUUUGUCAAUUAUGAACAUUUCUUUUUUUCCCAAUUAUACCCCUCCAUCAAGCAUCUAGUACAGAAUAUAUUGUUUUUGC
rnacentral:lncRNA from 1 species